GGAGGGUGCAAGCGUUGUUCGGAAUUAUUGGGCGUAAAGAGCGUGUAGGCGGUUCGGUAAGUCAGAUGUGAAAGCCCUGGGCUCAACCCAGGAAGUGCAUUUGAAACUACCAGACUUGAGUACGGGAGAGGAGGGGGGAAUUCCCGGUGUAGAGGUGAAAUUCGUAGAUAUCGGGAGGAAUACCAGUGGCGAAGGCGCCCUCUGGACCGAUACUGACGCUGAGACGCGGAAGCGUGGGGAGCAAACAGGAUUAGAUACCCUGGUAGUCCACGCCGUAAACGAUGAGCACUAGGUGUAGCGGGUAUUGACCCCCCUGCUGUGCCCGUAGCUAACGCAUUAAGUGCUCCGCCUGGGGGACUACGGUCGCAAGACUA
rnacentral:rRNA from 1 species